GUGCCAGCCGCCGCGGUAAUACAGGGGGUGCAAACGUUGCUCGGAAUUAUUGGGCGUAAAGCGCGCGUAGGCGGCUACCUAAGUCGGAUGUGAAAGCCCCUGGCUUAACUGGGGAAGUGCACCCGAAACUGAGUAGCUAGAGUGCGAAAGAGGGUCGCGGAAUUCCCGGUGUAGAGGUGAAAUUCGUAGAUAUCGGGAGGAACACCGGUGGCGAAGGCGGCGACCUGGGUCGACACUGACGCUGAGGCGCGAAAGCGUGGGGAGCAAACAGGAUUAGAAACCCCAGUAGUCC
rnacentral:rRNA from 1 species